rnacentral:pre_miRNA from 2 species
CGUUUUUUGUAGGCGCAGCACCAUCAAGAUUCACAUGGAAAUUGAAAAAUCUCCUAAUUUUUAAUUAGGGUUUUGAUAUGUAUAUGAGAAUCUUGAUGAUGCUGCAUCAACAACCGACG